GGGAAGCAGGGGAAACAGAAGAGGAAAGAGUGGUCCAAAAAUUAUCAUGUUACCGCACAGAAGUAUCCUCAUGACCUUCCCUCUCUACAACUGCUGCUAGUUCCUACAUCCAAGUGGCCAUGUGAGACUGAAUAUUAGAUGCCAAGUGCACACAUGUGUUAGUGGAGUUAACAGGGAUUGUUGGAGAAACAAACGACAAGAUGCCCAUUGAGUACACAUGGCAGUAUGCAUGGCUCAUGCCAUGAGGAAGACCAGUCUGAAAUGGGGCUGACAUUGAGAAGAAGCCCGAGUUAAGAGAACCACAGAGAAAUGGAGGUUAAAUCUUUGAACAAACCUUACCUGAGCCCAUGUAAUUUUGAGUUUUCCAGUUUUGUGAAGUAAGCAAUUCUUCUUUAUAAUUGAAGCAAGUCACAAGUAGUUGCAAUUAACAACCAACCAAAG
rnacentral:lncRNA from 10 species